UGAAGCGUAUGUAACCUGAAGCAUAUGUAACCCGAGAUACCACUGUACAGCAUCUGCUCUGCUUGCAAAAUGUCCCAGGUUCAAUCCCCAGAUUAUUUUGCUGGAGAACUGCACUGCAAAAUUCAGAGAAGUGCAAAUUUCAAAAGAUCGCUGUGUUUUGCUUUGUGUAUUGUUUUGGAACAUGUGAAUUAGGUAGGUUUGCCUUUAAAUGUGAACUGAAUCAAAUAUUCCUCCUUUUCUUUGUUGGGUCAUUCAGUAUUUCUUGAAGGCUCAGGGAAACAGUUUCUUGUGAACAAGUAGUAUAAUUCAAAUGUCUGACAGUAAAGCAAUAACACAUUACAGUAUCAUCUUAAAUAUAGAUAUUUUAUUUGCUUGGAGGCUUUGAUGCAUUUUAUUUGCAAAUUAUAAUCACCUUUGUGUUGACUCAAUCCAACAUACAGCUCCGAUUAUUUUGAGCUCUUUCAGUUCUCUCUCACACACAGCCUCCAGUUAAAUUCAUUUGUCUUUUUUAUGAGAAAUGAUUCCGACACUCCUCAUUGUAAGUUUUAGGGGUUUUUGGAAAAUAUAUUUGAUUGGAUUGUCCAUUGCAUUUGAACAAAAACACAUUUUAAAUUAAAAUAGGUGAAUGCAGCUGUGUGGAAGGACUUAUAGCCCAUCUAGGCAUCCUUUUAUCAUGCAUUUAUGAAUUGCAUUCCUGAUUUGUGGUCAUUAUGUUAUUGGAGCAGUUCUACACGAUCUCACUUUCAAUUCUUUUUGCACUUAAAUGGCAGACAUACUGCUUUAUUUACAACUAGUGCAUGUCCCCAUAGCUUCCUGCUGAAAGAUUGCUACUUUUAAUGCCACAAAUAUUUUGGGGGGUUUUUUUAGUUCUGAUUUUAUUGCACAAUGGUGCCCCUCCAGGUGACAAUAACACAGCAACAUUGAUUGGGGAAGCAUCUCAGAACAACUAGUAAAGCGGAAUGAUGUCUGGACAGUCCAGUAUAAAUCCACCAUUAAUGCACUAUUAUUGUGUCAAAGACAUGUUGCAGAAUACAUCUGCAAAAAUACCAGUCUGGAGGGAUCCAGUCACAUGCUGUAAACCUUCAUCAAGCAGAAAGUGUCCUCUGCCCCAGUACCACUUCUUAGCAUGUUAGGCAUUCAGUGUGUGCAGACCCACUGCAGGAGAGAAGGUUGCCCUGCACAGGAAUCCCAAUGUGACAAAGGGACAAAUAAACUUAAUGUCUGGUCUGCAAAAGUGACCAACCUCAGUUUUCCCUCAAACAGCCCCCACCUGCCCUGCCUUCCUCCUUACAACUAGCCCAGGGGAUGGCCCUGGCUGUAAGCUUCCUGCCUCUCCUUGGUCUCAUUGUUGCCCCUUAUAGAACACAGUAGGGAGGAGGAGGACAAAACAAGAAUGAGGUGGCUCUGCCUGCCAUUGGCUCUGGCUCCAGCUUGAGCUUUGGUCCCGAUGCUACAGACGUAUGGAAAUGUAAUACAGUUCAUUCGAUGAAAGUGACCAUGAGUUUAAAACAACUAUAGUCCACAUUCCUUCCUU